ACCCCAUCCCCACCCUGUCUGACAUCUGCUAGUGGGAGGAUGGGAGACGUGGGAAGAGUUUCUUCUGGUGAGUCCUUGGGUGGUCCUGAGAAGAUCACAUCCCUCUCAGAGCCAGAGUUUCCUCAGCGGGCAAUGGAGGUUCUUGAUGCUCCUGGAGGAAGACUGAGAGGAUCCCCUGAGGCAAACCUUUGAGCGGCUGCAUUCCAGGCUGGCAACCCGAUGGCCACUCCAUGCAUGACCCUGGGCCAGGGCCACCCAAUGAAGCUGCUCCGGAAAACUCAGUCCACAGAAACUCCAGGAAACAAGAAAAGUUUACUCUUGGUCCACACUGAACUGUGAGAGGGCUCAUGAAGUACCAACAGGAUGUAAGCUCUCAGCUUCUGCUCACGCAUCAUGCCAGCCACCCUGCCUGUUGCCAUGUUUCCUACCAUGAUGUUCGUGGACUCACCUGAAACUGUAAGAAAGCUUGCACAUUAGAAGCCUUUUAAAAGAUACCGUGGUCAUGGUGUCUCUUCGCAGCAAGAGAACAGUAACUGAGACGGGGUGAGGAUCUAGGAGGUUUGCCCUCACAGAAGGCAUAUCCUGGAAGGGGAUCCAACCUCCUCUUCCUCUCCCCCUUCCUCCUCCCCUCCCUUUCUGACGGCUCUCAUGAGGUGAGCAUCUUGCCUUUACUGUACAAUGCCCUCUGCCACUCAGUUUGUCUUCACCGCAAGCCAAGGGUAACCAGGCGAGAUGACUGUGGGCUGGAAUUCUAAAACCAUGAGACAAAU